rnacentral:piRNA from 1 species
GUUGGUGAUGAAGCUAGCUGACG